rnacentral:rRNA from 1 species
GCAUAUCAAUAAGCGGAGGAAAAGAAACCAACAGGGAUUGCCUUAGUAGCGGCGAGUGAAGCGGCAAAAGCUCAAAUUUGAAAUCUGGCGCCUUCGGUGUCCGAGUUGUAAUUUGAAGAUUGUAACCUUGGGGUUGGCUCUUGUCUAUGUUUCUUGGAACAGGACGUCACAGAGGGUGAGAAUCCCGUGCGAUGAGAUGCCCAAUUCUAUGUAAGGUGCUUUCGAAGAGUCGAGUUGUUUGGGAAUGCAGCUCUAAGUGGGUGGUAAAUUCCAUCUAAAGCUAAAUAUUGGCGAGAGACCGAUAGCGAACAAGUACAGUGAUGGAAAGAUGAAAAGAACUUUGAAAAGAGAGUGAAAAAGUACGUGAAAUUGUUGAAAGGGAAGGGUUUGAGAUCAGACUCGAUAUUUUGUGAGCCUUGCCUUCGUGGCGGGGUGACCCGCAGCUUAUCGGGCCAGCAUCGGUUUGGGCGGUAGGAUAAUGGCGUAGGAAUGUGACUUUACUUCGGUGAAGUGUUAUAGCCUGCGUUGAUGCUGCCUGCCUAGACCGAGGACUGCGAUUUUAUCAAGGAUGCUGGCAUAAUGAUCCCAAACCGCCCGUCUUGAAC